GCCCUGCUAAGGACUUUGCUGCAUUGCUGCUGAAUAUGAAGAAGCUUUUAGGACUCACCUCAUUGUACCACUCUUGCUCACAGUCCUUGUUCCACAGUACAGCAGAUGGUAUAUAAGACAGCACUGGGUACUUGUAACCAUCACCAGCAGAAAUGUUUCUGCAGGACAAUGUGCUGGUGUUCCCUCUGGCAGAAGUCUGAAAUUGUUUUAAAAGAACCAUACAUUAAAAAGGAUUUACUCGGAUUUAUCCAUAAAUGGCGUUAACAUUAAUAUGUGUUCAUAUGUACAUGUGUACACAUUAAUCCCAUGUCAGAGAGAGAGAGAGAGACAGACACACAUAUACUUAAUUAUAACUUAUCCACUUACCACAACACCACCGACAACCAACUGAGAGCAGAGGAGAAGGAACAAAACGGUUAUUGAAUGUGCCAUGAAUGAAAACCACCUUGACCAGAGAAUCAUGUUUCCAGGGAGGGUGGUGAAGCUCUGGUGUCCCACCUCACGCUCUGCUGUGAACCUGCUGAAAGAGGGUGCAUUGGGCACAAUCAAUUCUUGGUGAAACGGACCAACCAAAGCAAAGCAAAACAGGAAAUACCCAUAAAAAUGUAUUAAUAUGAGAAAACUUAUUAUUAUUUCAAAAACGUACUUCAAAAAAUAUUCUAGAAACCAUCACACCUGAUCAGAAAAUCAUACAUUAAAAAAGUCAAAAUAAAAAGGCCGUCAUCUGAAAUCUGCAAUCAAAAACAUUCAAAACACCUUAGACCAACAGAUUACCCCCAGAAGAACUGACAGACACACUUAACAAGCUAAAACCCAGAAAAGCAUGUUAGUCAACAGGCUUAGACAACAUUAGAACAGAAAUGCUGAAGCUCAGCCCUACUAUCAUGCAUAAGGCCUUACUAAAACUGUUCAAUCUAGUCUGGCAAACAGGCUAUUUUCCAGAUACCUGGAAGAAGGGUUUAAUAUGCCCACUAUACAAACAUAGAGAUCCCAAUUUGACCCCAAUAAUAACAGAGCCAUCUGUGUGAACAGUAAUCUGGGGAAGACCUUCUGUUGUAUUCUCAAUGCCCAGAUACAGACCUCUCACCGAGCAGAAUGUCUUGAGUAAGAGUCAAAUUGGGUUUCUACCCAACCACCACAUUUACACAUUACAUACACUAGUCAAACAGCACGUCCACCAAAAACACAAAGACACAAUCGAUGCCUGUUUUGUCGAUUAAAAAAAUAAGCUUUUGACACUAUUCGGUGCAAUGACAUUUAGAAAAUGCUCCAAUCUGGCAUAGGGGGCAAAAUGUAGGACAGAAUUAAAUCCAUGUACUCAAUUGUAAAAAAUUGACAAUAAAAGAGCGUAUUUCUUCCCCCAAAGACGUGGAGUUACACAGGGCUGCAAUUUGAGCCCAACCCUAUUCGACAUAGCAGUGUUACAGGAACAAUCCACAACACCUGGCCUCACUUUAUAUAAUCCUGAGCUGAAAUUCCUCUUCUAUGCAGGUGACGUGGUGCUGCUGUCAGCCACUGGACCCGCUGGAGAUCUACGGUCACAACUAGGCCCUUACAGUCAAUCAGACAACAGGAAACCAGGCACAACUGCACUCUGCACAUAAUUAGUGUAACUUUUAUACUUUUGUCUUACACUGGCACCUUGCAUUGUGUCACUUUUCAUUUUUAUGUAAUAUUUUUGUGAUCAUUACUAUUGUUAUUCCAUUCUUCUUCUUAUUAUUAUUAAAUUCUCCUUUAACUAUACUGAUGCUUUGGCAAUACUGCAUGUAAACAAUCUUGUCAAUAAAGCACUUACAGUACACCGCACGCGCGCACACACACACACACACGGCAUGGAGACGGUCGCUACAAGUAUAGACACACAGGUAAUGGUAUUAAACACUUCAACAGACACAAUGAGUAACAUUUACCCGAAAUAUACUCACAUGUAAAGCCUUCCUUUGCCCAGAAUCAAAUGUGUAAUAGAAACACUGGCUACCGGCUUCCGGGUUUCCUUCUUCUUGUACUACUACUGUUGGUGUGUUACCGCCAUCUACUGAACUGGAAGACGUCUACCAUUCUUCUCUUCACAUAUCCGUAUCUAUAUCCUAUUUAACAGAUCAGUAUCCAUUAACAUGUGAAUAUAUCGGUGUUAAUUCUGUGCGAUUCUCUCUGAAGCAAACUAUGUAGGUUAAGCAACUCCAUCCCUAUUUCUCUCCGACUCCCCGCUUCCUGUCCUCCAUCAUGUUUUAAACAAAAGGACAAUUUUUUUUGUCUCUGUGCUCCCCAGUUUGAAAUUUGCAUUCAAAUUUAAAUGAAAAGCACACUCUCAUAUUUAAAUACUAUCUGGUAUUUUAUCUGAGUAUUUUAACAUCUCGGAUGUAAAAAUGAAAGAUAAAUGUAAUAAAAACGUUACACUGACGCAUUUUCAUUAUAAUUGCACUGUCCGAAUCUAGGUUAUAAAACAAGUCUCUCGAAUCUCGCGUUUUAAUAGCAGCUGGUAAUAAAGCAGCACAGGGUUUACUAACACCAACCUUCCUUACACAUCUCAAAUUGUAAUAUAUUACUUUUCUGUGUGUUUUAGGAAGAGCAACGCAGACGUUUUUAACAUUAAAUAAUUAAUUACCUAGAAGAAAAGAUUAUCCUCCAGUGUCUUCCUGAAUCACACCACGCAGUUUGUGUUUCCUCUUCGUUAUUACACCUGAUACACUUUUCCUCUUCAGCUUCACAAUCCACAGUGUGACCCAUCGUCCUGUUAUUAUUCCCCCUGAUUUCUCCAUUUUGUAGGUCUGUACGUUCAGCGAAAAUUGCGUCAUAAAACCCAGAGCUGCUGAAUUCGGUUUCCGGUGGGCGCGGAGUCCAGAUAACGCCUGUGUACGUGUAACAGAUAUAGGAAAUAAAAUUUAUUGUUUUUUUAUUUGUGUUUUUUUUCCAUGGCAUGUGUUGCGCUGUAAAAUGUAUUAAUUUCCCCAAAAUCCUUCGCGGUUAUUUAUUAGUUCGCUGUUCUUGGUGUCGGGAGUACUUUAUUCGUGUUAUAGCGCUCAUGCUAGUUCGUGUAGUUGUAUCGCGUCAUUUCCGGUUUCUUGUCAGUCGGCGUUGAGUUUGACAGAGAGAGCCUGACGAUCCAUUCAUAUCUGCAAGCAUCUCUGCUUGCCUGUUGGACAUCUCGGUCUGGAUGAAGGAACACCAUCUUAAGCUUAACCUGGCAAACUCCGAGCUUCUCGUCAUCCCAGCCUGUCCCUCAAUCAACCACAACCUCACUGUACAGCUCAGCUCACUCACACUCAUGCCAACCAGGACGGCCAGGAACCUUGGGGUGAUUCUUGAUGACGGCUUGACCCUUACAGACCAUAUCUCAGCAACUGCAAGGUCCUGUAGGUUCAUCCUGUACAACAUCAAGAAAAUACGACCCUACAUCACCGAACAGGCUACACAGAUACUAGUCCAGGCUCUUGUUAUCUCUAAACUGGACUACUGCAACUCACUGCUUUCAGGCCUCCCAGCCAGCUCCAUCAAACCCCCUCAGAUGAUUUAGAAUGCUGCAGCGUGCCUCGUCUUCAACCAGCCCAAGAGAACCCAUGUCACAUCCCUCUUCAUCUCCCUCCACUGGCUCCCUGUAGCUGCCCGCAUCAAGUUCAAGGCCUUGAUGCUCACCUGCAAGACUUGUCAGGAACAGCACCCUCCUACCUCAACUCUCUCCUGAAGGCCUACGUUCCCUCUCGCAGUCUGCGAUU
ensembl:lncRNA